rnacentral:rRNA from 1 species
GAUGAACGCUGGCGGCGUGCCUAAUACAUGCAAGUCGAGCGAACAGAUAAGGAGCUUGCUCCUUUGACGUUAGCGGCGGACGGGUGAGUAACACGUGGGUAACCUACCUAUAAGACUGGGAUAACUUCGGGAAACCGGAGCUAAUACCGGAUAACAUUUGGAACCGCAUGGUUCUAAAGUGAAAGAUGGUUUUGCUAUCACUUAUAGAUGGACCCGCGCCGUAUUAGCUAGUUGGUAAGGUAACGGCUUACCAAGGCGACGAUACGUAGCCGACGUGAGAGGGUGAUCGGCCACACUGGAACUGAGACACGGUCCAGACUCCUACGGGAGGCAGCAGUAGGGAAUCUUCCGCAAUGGGCGAAAGCCUGACGGAGCAACGCCGCGUGAGUGAUGAAGGGGUUCGGCUCGUAAAACUCUGUUAUUAGGGAAGAACAAAUGUGUAAGUAACUGUGCACGUCUUGACGGUACCUAAUCAGAAAGCCACGGCUAACUACGUG